UUAAGCGACUAAGCGUACACGGUGGAUGCCCUGGCAGUCAGAGGCGAUGAAGGACGUGCUAAUCUGCGAUAAGCGUCGGUAAGGUGAUAUGAACCGUUAUAACCGGCGAUUUCCGAAUGGGGAAACCCAGUGUGAUUCGUCACACUAUCAUUAACUGAAUCCAUAGGUUAAUGAGGCGAACCGGGGGAACUGAAACAUCUAAGUACCCCGAGGAAAAGAAAUCAACCGAGAUUCCCCCAGUAGCGGCGAGCGAACGGGGAGCAGCCCAGAGCCUGAAUCAGUGUGUGUGUUAGUGGAAGCGUCUGGAAAGGCGCGCGAUACAGGGUGACAGCCCCGUACACAAAAAUGCACAUAUUGUGAGCUCGAUGAGUAGGGCGGGACACGUGGUAUCCUGUCUGAAUAUGGGGGGACCAUCCUCCAAGGCUAAAUACUCCUGACUGACCGAUAGUGAACCAGUACCGUGAGGGAAAGGCGAAAAGAACCCCGGCGAGGGGAGUGAAAAAGAACCUGAAACCGUGUACGUACAAGCAGUGGGAGCACGCUUAGGCGUGUGACUGCGUACCUUUUGUAUAAUGGGUCAGCGACUUAUAUUCUGUAGCAAGGUUAACCGAAUAGGGGAGCCGAAGGGAAACCGAGUCUUAACUGGGCGUUAAGUUGCAGGGUAUAGACCCGAAACCCGGUGAUCUAGCCAUGGGCAGGUUGAAGGUUGGGUAACACUAACUGGAGGACCGAACCGACUAAUGUUGAAAAAUUAGCGGAUGACUUGUGGCUGGGGGUGAAAGGCCAAUCAAACCGGGAGAUAGCUGGUUCUCCCCGAAAGCUAUUUAGGUAGCGCCUCGUGAAUUCAUCUCCGGGGGUAGAGCACUGUUUCGGCAAGGGGGUCAUCCCGACUUACCAACCCGAUGCAAACUGCGAAUACCGGAGAAUGUUAUCACGGGAGACACACGGCGGGUGCUAACGUCCGUCGUGAAGAGGGAAACAACCCAGACCGCCAGCUAAGGUCCCAAAGUCAUGGUUAAGUGGGAAACGAUGUGGGAAGGCCCAGACAGCCAGGAUGUUGGCUUAGAAGCAGCCAUCAUUUAAAGAAAGCGUAAUAGCUCACUGGUCGAGUCGGCCUGCGCGGAAGAUGUAACGGGGCUAAACCAUGCACCGAAGCUGCGGCAGCGACGCUGAUGCGUUGUUGGGUAGGGGAGCGUUCUGUAAGCCUGUGAAGGUGUACUGUGAGGUAUGCUGGAGGUAUCAGAAGUGCGAAUGCUGACAUAAGUAACGAUAAAGCGGGUGAAAAGCCCGCUCGCCGGAAGACCAAGGGUUCCUGUCCAACGUUAAUCGGGGCAGGGUGAGUCGACCCCUAAGGCGAGGCCGAAAGGCGUAGUCGAUGGGAAACAGGUUAAUAUUCCUGUACUUGGUGUUACUGCGAAGGGGGGACGGAGAAGGCUAUGUUGGCCGGGCGACGGUUGUCCCGGUUUAAGCGUGUAGGCUGGUUUUCCAGGCAAAUCCGGAAAAUCAAGGCUGAGGCGUGAUGACGAGGCACUACGGUGCUGAAGCAACAAAUGCCCUGCUUCCAGGAAAAGCCUCUAAGCAUCAGGUAACAUCAAAUCGUACCCCAAACCGACACAGGUGGUCAGGUAGAGAAUACCAAGGCGCUUGAGAGAACUCGGGUGAAGGAACUAGGCAAAAUGGUGCCGUAACUUCGGGAGAAGGCACGCUGAUAUGUAGGUGAAGUCCCUCGCGGAUGGAGCUGAAAUCAGUCGAAGAUACCAGCUGGCUGCAACUGUUUAUUAAAAACACAGCACUGUGCAAACACGAAAGUGGACGUAUACGGUGUGACGCCUGCCCGGUGCCGGAAGGUUAAUUGAUGGGGUUAGCGCAAGCGAAGCUCUUGAUCGAAGCCCCGGUAAACGGCGGCCGUAACUAUAACGGUCCUAAGGUAGCGAAAUUCCUUGUCGGGUAAGUUCCGACCUGCACGAAUGGCGUAAUGAUGGCCAGGCUGUCUCCACCCGAGACUCAGUGAAAUUGAACUCGCUGUGAAGAUGCAGUGUACCCGCGGCAAGACGGAAAGACCCCGUGAACCUUUACUAUAGCUUGACACUGAACAUUGAGCCUUGAUGUGUAGGAUAGGUGGGAGGCUUUGAAGUGUGGACGCCAGUCUGCAUGGAGCCGACCUUGAAAUACCACCCUUUAAUGUUUGAUGUUCUAACGUUGACCCGUAAUCCGGGUUGCGGACAGUGUCUGGUGGGUAGUUUGACUGGGGCGGUCUCCUCCUAAAGAGUAACGGAGGAGCACGAAGGUUGGCUAAUCCUGGUCGGACAUCAGGAGGUUAGUGCAAUGGCAUAAGCCAGCUUGACUGCGAGCGUGACGGCGCGAGCAGGUGCGAAAGCAGGUCAUAGUGAUCCGGUGGUUCUGAAUGGAAGGGCCAUCGCUCAACGGAUAAAAGGUACUCCGGGGAUAACAGGCUGAUACCGCCCAAGAGUUCAUAUCGACGGCGGUGUUUGGCACCUCGAUGUCGGCUCAUCACAUCCUGGGGCUGAAGUAGGUCCCAAGGGUAUGGCUGUUCGCCAUUUAAAGUGGUACGCGAGCUGGGUUUAGAACGUCGUGAGACAGUUCGGUCCCUAUCUGCCGUGGGCGCUGGAGAACUGAGGGGGGCUGCUCCUAGUACGAGAGGACCGGAGUGGACGCAUCACUGGUGUUCGGGUUGUCAUGCCAAUGGCACUGCCCGGUAGCUAAAUGCGGAAGAGAUAAGUGCUGAAAGCAUCUAAGCACGAAACUUGCCCCGAGAUGAGUUCUCCCUGACCCUUUAAGGGUCCUGAAGGAACGUUGAAGACGACGACGUUGAUAGGCCGGGUGUGUAAGCGCAGCGAUGCGUUGAGCUAACCGGUACUAAUGAACCGUGAGGCUUAACCUU
rnacentral:rRNA from 1 species